rnacentral:lncRNA from 1 species
GUGAGUGCAGCUGUUAUGACUCAGUGGUCAGCGGAAACUUGAUGAUAGCAUAGUGGUCAAGCUUGUUUCUCCUGGGAGCGCUCUUCCGAGGAUAUUUGGGCUGUCUCCGGAGUCGCAGUGUCUUCGGCCGCCGGAAGGUGGGUGACGUGCGGAUCUUCUUCUUUUUGUGGCUGUGGACACCUUUCAACACUGCCUUCUUGGCCUUUAAAGCCUUCGCUUUGGCUUCAGCUUUAGGAGGGGCAGGAGCUUCCUUCUUCGCUUUCGGCGCCAUGUUGUGAAAAGG